CCUAUGUCAUCCCUGGAUUAGAAGUUCUAAUGAGGUCAAGGUGCCUUUGGAUAUUCUAAUAUUUAAACUCAUGAAGGCUUAUAUGCGUUCUUCAUCUCUUCGGAAAGCUGCUUUAAGGGCUUUAUCUAAAACAUUGACAGUUGAUGAGUUAUAUUAUUUGAAGGAGCAAUUUACACUGUUGGAACCAAACAAAAAUGGCACUAUAAGCUUAGAAAAUAUCAAAACGGCC
rnacentral:misc_RNA from 1 species